rnacentral:rRNA from 1 species
AGAGUUUGAUUAUGGCUCAGGAUGAACGCUAGCUACAGGCUUAACACAUGCAAGUCGAGGGGCAUCAGGAUCUUAGCUUGCUAAGAUUGCUGGCGACCGGCGCACGGGUGAGUAACGCGUAUCCAACCUUCCCUGUAGUAGGGGAUAGCCCGGAGAAAUCCGGAUUAAUACCCUAUGUUAUUCAAAGAUGACAUCUGAUUUGAAUCAAAGGCUUGCCGCUACAGGAUGGGGAUGCGUCUGAUUAGGUUGUUGGCGGGGUAACGGCCCACCAAGCCAUCGAUCAGUAGGGGUUCUGAGAGGAAGGUCCCCCACAUUGGAACUGAGACACGGUCCAAACUCCUACGGGAGGCAGCAGUGAGGAAUAUUGGUCGAUGGGCGAGAGCCUGAACCAGCCAAGUAAGCGUGCAGGAUGACGGCCCUAUGGGUUGUAAACUGCUUUUAUGCGGGGAUAAAGUGGGGGACGUGUCCCUUUUUGUAGGUACCGCAUGAAUAAGGACCGGCUAAUUCCGUGCCAGCAGCGGC